rnacentral:rRNA from 1 species
GGGUUGUGAGGUUAAGCGAAUAAGCGUACACGGUGGAUGCCUAGGCAAUCAGAGGCGAUGAAGGACGUGCUAAUCUGCGAUAAGCGUCGGUAAGGUGAUAUGAACCGUUAUAACCGACGAUUUCCGAAUGGGGAAACCCAAUAUCCAAUGGAUAUUAUCAUUACGUGAAUACAUAGCGUAAUGAAGCGAACCGGGAGAACUGAAACAUCUCAGUACCCCGAGGAAAAGAAAUCAACCGAGAUUCCCCUAGUAGCGGCGAGCGAACGGGGAACAGCCCAGAGUCUUAAUCAAUAGCAGCAUCAGGAGAACGGUCUGGAAAGUCCGGCAGUAAAGGGUGAUAGCCCCGUAUCUGAAGAUGUUGUUAUUGUGAACUCGACGAGUAGGGCGGGACACGUGUUAUCCUGUCUGAAUAUGGGGGGACCAUCCUCCAAGGCUAAAUACUCCUGAUUGACCGAUAGUGAACCAGUACCGUGAGGGAAAGGCGAAAAGAACCCCGGCGAGGGGAGUGAAAAAGAACCUGAAACCGUGUACGUACAAGCAGUAGGAGCCUCUUUUAUGGGGUGACUGCGUACCUUUUGUAUAAUGGGUCAGCGACUUAUAUUCUGUAGCAAGGUUAACCGUAUAGGGGAGCCGUAGGGAAACCGAGUCUUAACUGGGCGAAUGAGUUGCAGGGUAUAGACCCGAAACCCGGUGAUCUAUCCAUGGGCAGGUUGAAGGUUGGGUAACACUAACUGGAGGACCGAACCGACUAAUGUUGAAAAAUUAGCGGAUGACUUGUGGAUGGGGGUGAAAGGCCAAUCAAACCGGGAGAUAGCUGGUUCUCCCCGAAAGCUAUUUAGGUAGCGCCUCGUGAACUCAUCUUCGGGGGUAGAGCACUGUUUCGACUAGGGGGUCAUCCCGACUUACCAACUCGAUGCAAACUGCGAAUACCGAAGAAUGUUAUCACGGGAGACACACGGCGGGUGCUAACGUCCGUCGUGAAGAGGGAAACAACCCAGACCGCCAGCUAAGGUCCCAAAGUCAUGGUUAAGUGGGAAACGAAGUGGGAAGGCUCAGACAGCCAGGAUGUUGGCUUAGAAGCAGCCAUCAUUUAAAGAAAGCGUAAUAGCUCACUGGUCGAGUCGGCCCGCGCGGAAGAUGUAACGGGGCUAAACCAUGCACCGAAGCUGCGGCAGCGACACUUAGGUGUUGUUGGGUAGGGGAGCGUUCUGUAAGCCUGCGAAGGUGUGCUGUGAGGCAUGCUGGAGGUAUCAGAAGUGCGAAUGCUGACAUAAGUAACGAUAAUGCGGGUGAAAAACCCGCACGCCGGAAGACCAAGGGUUCCUGUCCAACGUUAAUCGGGGCAGGGUGAGUCGACCCCUAAGGCGAGGCUGAAAAGCGUAGUCGAUGGGAAACGGGUUAAUAUUCCCGUACUGGUGGUAACUGCGAUGGGGGAACGGAGAAGGCUAGGUUGUCCGGGCGACGGUCGUCCCGGUUCAAGCAUGUAGGCAGAGUGAUUAGGCAAAUCCGGUCACUUAAUGCUGAGGUGUGAUGACGAACCACUAAGGUGGUGAAGCAAUUGAUGCCCUGCUUCCAGGAAAAGCCUCUAAGCUUCAGGUUACCAACAAUCGUACCCCAAACCGACACAGGUGGUCAGGUAGAGAAUACUCAGGCGCUUGAGAGAACUCGGGUGAAGGAACUAGGCAAAAUGGUGCCGUAACUUCGGGAGAAGGCACGCUGGCGGUAAGUGAAGUCCCUGCGGACGGAGCCGAAGCCAGUCGAAGAUACCAGCUGGCUGCAACUGUUUAUUAAAAACACAGCACUGUGCAAACACGAAAGUGGACGUAUACGGUGUGACGCCUGCCCGGUGCUGGAAGGUUAAUUGAUGGGGUUAUCCUUAGGGAGAAGCUCUUGAUCGAAGCCCCAGUAAACGGCGGCCGUAACUAUAACGGUCCUAAGGUAGCGAAAUUCCUUGUCGGGUAAGUUCCGACCUGCACGAAUGGCGUAAUGAUGGCCAGGCUGUCUCCACCCGAGACUCAGUGAAAUUGAACUCGCUGUGAAGAUGCAGUGUACCCGCGGCAAGACGGAAAGACCCCGUGAACCUUUACUAUAGCUUGACACUGAACAUUGAGCCUUGAUGUGUAGGAUAGGUGGGAGACUUUGAAGUGUGGACGCCAGUCUGCAUGGAGUCAACCUUGAAAUACCACCCUUUAACGUUUGAUGUUCUAACCUAGGUCCAUAAUCUGGAUCGGGGACCGUGUCUGGUGGGUAGUUUGACUGGGGCGGUCUCCUCCUAAAGAGUAACGGAGGAGCACGAAGGUUGGCUAAGCAUGGUCGGACAUCAUGCGGUUAGUGCAAAGGCAUAAGCCAGCUUGACUGUGAGAGUGACGGCUCGAGCAGGUACGAAAGUAGGUCUUAGUGAUCCGGUGGUUCUGAAUGGAAGGGCCAUCGCUCAACGGAUAAAAGGUACUCCGGGGAUAACAGGCUGAUACCGCCCAAGAGUUCAUAUCGACGGCGGUGUUUGGCACCUCGAUGUCGGCUCAUCACAUCCUGGGGCUGAAGUAGGUCCCAAGGGUAUGGCUGUUCGCCAUUUAAAGUGGUACGCGAGCUGGGUUUAGAACGUCGUGAGACAGUUCGGUCCCUAUCUGCCGUGGGCGUUGGAAGAUUGAGAGGGGUUGCUCCUAGUACGAGAGGACCGGAGUGAACGCACCACUGGUGUUCGGGUUGUCAUGCCAAUGGCAUUGCCCGGUAGCUAAGUGCGGAAGAGAUAACCGCUGAAAGCAUCUAAGCGGGAAACUUGCCUCGAGAUGAGUCUUCCCUGUCACCUUGAGUGACCUAAAGGAACGUUUAAGACUAAGACGUUGAUAGGCUGGGUGUGUAAGCGUAGCGAUACGUUGAGCUAACCAGUACUAAUGAACCGUGAGGCUUAACCUGACAACACCGAAGGUGUUU